rnacentral:tRNA from 1 species
GCCUGGGUGGCUCAGAUGGUUGAGCGUCCGACUUCGGCUCAGGUCCUGAUCUCAUGCGUUCGUGGGUUCGAGCCCCGCGUCGGGCU